rnacentral:rRNA from 1 species
ACGAACGCUGGCGGCGUGCUUAACACAUGCAAGUCGAACGGUAAGGCCUUUCGGGGUACACGAGUGGCGAACGGGUGAGUAACACGUGGGUGACCUGCCUCACACUCUGGGAUAAGCCUGGGAAACUGGGUCUAAUACUGGAUAUGACCUGCUGCUUCAUGGUGGUGGGUGGAAAGCUUUAUGUGGUGUGAGAUGGGCCCGCGGCCUAUCAGCUUGUUGGUGGGGUAAUGGCCUACCAAGGCGACGACGGGUAGCCGGCCUGAGAGGGUGAUCGGCCACACUGGGACUGAGACACGGCCCAGACUCCUACGGGAGGCAGCAGUGGGGAAUAUUGCACAAUGGGCGGAAGCCUGAUGCAGCGACGCCGCGUGAGGGAUGACGGCCUUCGGGUUGUAAACCUCUUUCAAUAGGGACGAAGCGCAAGUGACGGUACCUGUAGAAGAAGCACCGGCCAACUACGU